ACAUAGGUUAACGAGGCGAACCGGGGGAACUGAAACAUCUAAGUACCCCGAGGAAAAGAAAUCAACCGAGAUUCCCCCAGUAGCGGCGAGCGAACGGGGAGCAGCCCAGAGUCUGAAUCAGCUUGUGUGUUAGUGGAACGGUCUGGAAAGUCCGACGGUACAGGGUGAUAGUCCCGUACACCAAAAUGCACAGGUUGUGAACUCGAAGAGUAGGGCGGGACACGUGGUAUCCUGUCUGAAUAUGGGGGGACCAUCCUCCAAGGCUAAAUACUCCUGACUGACCGAUAGUGAACCAGUACCGUGAGGGAAAGGCGAAAAGAACCCCGGCGAGGGGAGUGAAAAAGAACCUGAAACCGUGU
rnacentral:rRNA from 1 species